AUGAACGCUGGCGGCGUGCCUAAUACAUGCAAGUCGAGCGAACAGACGAGGAGCUUGCUCCUCUGACGUUAGCGGCGGACGGGUGAGUAACACGUGGAUAACCUACCUAUAAGACUGGGAUAACUUCGGGAAACCGGAGCUAAUACCGGAUAAUAUAUUGAACCGCAUGGUUCAAUAGUGAAAGACGGUUUUGCUGUCACUUAUAGAUGGAUCCGCGCCGCAUUAGCUAGUUGGUAAGGUAACGGCUUACCAAGGCAACGAUGCGUAGCCGACCUGAGAGGGUGAUCGGCCACACUGGAACUGAGACACGGUCCAGACUCCUACAGGAGGCAGCAGUAGGGAAUCUUCCGCAAAGGGCGAAAGCUUGACGGAGCAACGCCGCGUGAGUGAUGAAGGUCUUCGGAUCGUAAAACUCUGUUAUUAGGGAAGAACAAAUGUGUAAGUAACUAUGCACGUCUUGACGGUACCUAAUCAGAAAGCCACGGCUAACUACGUG
rnacentral:rRNA from 1 species